GCCGGCGUAGCUCAGUGGUAGAGCAACUGAUUCGUAAUCAGUAGGUCGUAGGUUCAACUCCUAUCGCCGGCU
rnacentral:tRNA from 1 species